rnacentral:rRNA from 1 species
UACGAAGGGUGCAAACGUUGCUCGGAAUUAUUGGGCGUAAAGCGCACGUAGGCGGCUUUGCAAGUCGGAUGUGAAAUCCCUCGGCUUAACCAAGGAAGUGCAUCCGAAACUGCAGAGCUUGAGUACUUAAGAGGAUCGCGGAAUUCCCGGUGUAGAGGUGAAAUUCGUAGAUAUCGGGAGGAACACCGGUGGCGAAGGCGGCUUCCUGGACCGACACUGACGCUGAGGCGCGAAAGCUAGGGGAGCAAACGGG